UGAUCAUGGCUCAGAUUGAACGCUGGCGGCAUGCUUUACACAUGCAAGUCGAACGGUAACAGGGAGCUUGCUCCGCUGACGAGUGGCGAACGGGUGAGUAAUAUAUCGGAACGUACCCAAGAGUGGGGGAUAACGUAGCGAAAGUUACGCUAAUACCGCAUACGAUCUACGGAUGAAAGCAGGGGACCGCAAGGCCUUGUGCUCCUGGAGCGGCCGAUAUCUGAUUAGCUAGUUGGUAGGGUAAAGGCCUACCAAGGCAUCGAUCAGUAGCUGGUCUGAGAGGACGACCAGCCACACUGGAACUGAGACACGGUCCAGACUCCUACGGGAGGCAGCAGUGGGGAAUUUUGGACAAUGGGCGCAAGCCUGAUCCAGCAAUGCCGCGUGAGUGAAGAAGGCCUUCGGGUUGUAAAGCUCUUUUGUCAGGGAAGAAACGGUUGCGGCUAAUAUCCGCAGCUAAUGACGGUACCUGAAGAAUAAGCACCGGCUAACUACGUGCCAGCAGCCGCGGUAAUACGUAGGGUGCAAGCGUUAAUCGGAAUUACUGGGCGUAAAGCGUGCGCAGGCGGUUUUGUAAGUCUGUUGUGAAAUCCCCGGGCUUAACCUGGGAAUGGCAAUGGAGACUGCAAGGCUAGAGUUUGGCAGAGGGGGGUAGAAUUCCACGUGUAGCAGUGAAAUGCGUAGAGAUGUGGAGGAACACCGAUGGCGAAGGCAGCCCCCUGGGUCAAAACUGACGCUCAUGCACGAAAGCGUGGGGAGCAAACAGGAUUAGAUACCCUGGUAGUCCACGCCCUAAACGAUGUCUACUAGUUGUCGGGUCUUAAUUGACUUGGUAACGCAGCUAACGCGUGAAGUAGACCGCCUGGGGAGUACGGUCGCAAGAUUAAAACUCAAAGGAAUUGACGGGGACCCGCACAAGCGGUGGAUGAUGUGGAUUAAUUCGAUGCAACGCGAAAAACCUUACCUACCCUUGACAUGGCAGGAAUCCCCGAGAGAUCGGGGAGUGCUCGAAAGAGAACCUGCACACAGGUGCUGCAUGGCUGUCGUCAGCUCGUGUCGUGAGAUGUUGGGUUAAGUCCCGCAACGAGCGCAACCCUUGUCAUUAGUUGCUACGAAAGAGCACUCUAAUGAGACUGCCGGUGACAAACCGGAGGAAGGUGGGGAUGACGUCAAGUCCUCAUGGCCCUUAUGGGUAGGGCUUCACACGUCAUACAAUGGUACAUACAGAGGGCCGCCAACCCGCGAGGGGGAGCUAAUCCCAGAAAGUGUAUCGUAGUCCGGAUUGUAGUCUGCAACUCGACUGCAUGAAGUUGGAAUCGCUAGUAAUCGCGGAUCAGCAUGUCGCGGUGAAUACGUUCCCGGGUCUUGUACACACCGCCCGUCACACCAUGGGAGCGGGUUUUACCAGAAGUAGGUAGCUUAACCGUAAGGAGGGCGCUUACCACGGUAGGAUUCGUGACUGGGGUGAAGUCGUAACAAGGUAUCC
rnacentral:rRNA from 1 species